UACGAAGGGGGCUAGCGUUGCUCGGAAUCACUGGGCGUAAAGCGCACGUAGGCGGAUCUUUAAGUCAGGGGUGAAAUCCUGGAGCUCAACUCCAGAACUGCCUUCGAUACUGAGAGUCUCGAGUCCGGGAGAGGUGAGUGGAACUGCGAGUGUAGAGGUGAAAUUCGUAGAUAUUCGCAAGAACACCAGUGGCGAAGGCGGCUCACUGGUCCGGUACUGACGCUGAGGUGCGAAAGCGUGGGGAGCAAACAGG
rnacentral:rRNA from 1 species